GCUUAGGUCUGAUGUGAAAGCCUUCGGCUUAACCGAAGAAGUGCAUCGGAAACCGGGCGACUUGAGUGCAGAAGAGGACAGUGGAACUCCAUGUGUAGCGGUGGAAUGCGUAGAUAUAUGGAAGAACACCAGUGGCGAAGGCGGCUGUCUGGUCUGCAACUGACGCUGAGGCUCGAAAGCAUGGGUAGCGAACAGGAUUAGAUACCCUGGUAGUCCAUGCCGUAAACGAUGAGUGCUAGGUGUUGGAGGGUUUCCGCCCUUCAGUGCCGGAGCUAACGCAUUAAGCACUCCGCCUGGGGAGUACGACCGCAAGGUUGAAACUCAAAGGAAUUGACGGGGGCCCGCACAAGCGGUGGAGCAUGUGGUUUAAUUCGAAGCUACGCGAAGAACCUUACCAGGUCUUGACAUCUUGCGCUAACCUUAGAGAUAAGGCGUUCCCUUCGGGGACGCAAUGACAGGUGGUGCAUGGUCGUCGUCAGCUCGUGUCGUG
rnacentral:rRNA from 2 species